GUUUUCGGGGUCGAUAGAGAACCUAUGGGUGUACUAACAAUUGAUUACGGUGUUAGUAGUGAUUCAGCCUACGUCACGGAAAAAGUCAGUACACACUGUUUUAUUCUUGAAGAUAUACGAAGAAAGAAAUGAUAGAACUUGCGUUUUUUUUUCAAAGGAGCAGCGCGAACUUUGGUGAAGAGUGACGUGAUCGGUACUGAAAUUUCGGCACCAUUUAGGCUGGUAGUAGACAGCGUUGGAAAUCCUACGAACCCUAUGACCGAACCUGUAAAUUUGCAUCGACCCGCCCGAAUGUUCAUAGCUGAUGUUAAAAAUUGACGAACAAUCGACAUCAGUUGGACUCACAUUUUUCUAAAAGAUGAUUAAUACUAAGCCGUGGAUCGAAUAAUUCGCAGCCGUAGUCAGUAAGAAAGGCAGAAGAAGAAAAAAUAAAGAAGAAAAAAGAGAAGAAUAAUCGACCAAUCGAAAAUGAGUAAAACGCUCAUAACUUUCAACAAAGUGAAAAAACUUUGCUCGAGGAGGGCAAGUGUUCGGAAUGACGAAUCGAUUUUUCAACAUUUUUCUAUAUUUAUCAGAUUUUUUGUUCAACUGCAAGUGAUUUUUCAACUACAUUCAAACCGAACUUUUUCACGUUUAUUGCGACCGUGAUUUGGAAAACAAAAUGCGUCGAAUAUAGGUGGGAUUAUAGAAAACUAUUUUAAUUUACUCAUCCGAUCCAUUGAAAACGAUACAAAACUGUUGUUUUUUUUACCCAUAUUACCUUGAUGUACUGAAUUUCUGGAAGAUGCAAUGAAAACAUUCGAUUUUUCAAAUAAGUAGUGUAAAGAAAUGGUAUCGAAAUAUUAUAA